ACAACUACAGGCUCUGCAGUGUUUACAAAGCUGCUAAAAGCACUAAGAAGCGACAUGAAAGCGGAAAGGACCACAACUCGAGGUUUAUAGCGGGAACGUGGGAUUAUUUGACAAACAUCCCUUGUUUUAUCGCCAUCCGCUGAUCCCGCCCGCUGACAUCAUCAAGAUUGAUUCCGGCAAUGGUCAUCACACUCUCAAUCGACUCAUAUUUCCAAAGUAAGGCUGGAUGAUCAUCUCAUCAGGGAACGGCUGUGAGUUAAAGCGUUGUGUGCCGUCAUCCUGGUUGAAGCGUUAAGGUCCUGUACUGACACCACAGACAAGACCGGGUUCCAAAUCCUGAACUGAAUGUCUGCUCCCACAAAGAAGAGGCCACCAUCCCUGGAGUGGCUUCAACUGGAGUUGGGUUACCUGGCAUGGAGGGAUAUUGAAAGCACGGGUACGCAGGUCUACCCUCUGCCACUGGUCAAUAAGGGGCAGCACCAGGACGAUGCCAGGGCCCUUUGGAGGACAGACACGACCCAAGCGAAACACCACGACCCUUUGGUAGUUUGGCACCGUCUGCAAAGAAGAUCCAAAUCGGUCAUUUACACCAAACACACAAAGGACACGGUUUGGAAGUGCUUACUUUUAAUACAAACCAUCCUGUUAUAGGAAAGGUUACAAAAGUACAGAUGUGGACGAGGAAGAUGACAAUUAGAUUGCAGAUCCAUGACAGCCAUCCCUGGGAGCUAUCUACGAGGAAUAAAAAGUUUUUAAAACAUUACAAAAGAGAAGAAGAGUAGUGUAUCGUAUUACGUAUUUGGUUAGUCGUAGUGAACUGCACCGGAAGUUACUAAAUGAUGCAUCACUUCAUCGUGGACGUCAAAUACGUCAUAAAGAUGUAGUUAGUUAGUUGACUACUUCAUAAAUUGUUACGUAACUUACCACUGAAGUCAUUUUCAGAAAUAUUAGGGAUGUAAUCAAAGGACAGCCCUUUAUGGUAGUAGCUGUCAGUGGAGACAAAUAGUCCGGGAGUCCGCGGUACGAUCGGGUCAGUCUGAGAAAGACGCUGGUAAGAUUUCCCAAACAUUCUUAAAUUAAAUGGUCGCUUAAACUCAAAUAAAUAUUGAUAACGUAAGUGGUGUUUUGCUAGUGCUAAGUGAAGCUCAUGUUGCUUCGUUCGUUUUUCCGUGUUUUCCUUCUUCACUGCGUGAAACCGUGAUGACGUUAGCGCCGCCUAUCGUCACAACAUCGUAAUUACAAUCAUUUCCAACAAAUGGGUAGAAAGCAUAAUAACACGCAUACAGAUCUAUUAUUUUUAAGCAUAACAUGAAAAUACUAGCAUUGUUUAUUAUUUAAAUAUUUGAACUAUGGACAUGACCUAAAUGAUUCCACUGCUUAGUGUCAUAAUGAGUCAUCAACCAAAGAAGUGACUUCAAUUAGGGGUUGUAAUAAAACAAAAACUGCAUUGA